GGANCANANUACCCGGUAUUANGAGANGCANAUUCCCUUUUCCCAGAAAAGGAGAUUAGGCUCGUGUNGAAAGAUUCCCAAAUCGGGAGAGUUCUAGGAAUAUUAACCCUCCCCCGUCUCAAAAAGCAGGUUCUUUAACCGUAAAUCAACUACUNUUGGAUAUNGGGCAAGUGACGUGCGGCAGCCUACCAUGCAAGUCAGCGUAAGAGAGGCUGCUCUCUGAGGGCGCGACGGGUGAGUAUGCCUAGAAUCUGCCUGUAGUGGGGAUAACGUUCGAAACGGACGCUAAUACCGCAUACGUCCUACGGGAGAAAGCAGGGGACCUUCGGGCCUUGCGCUAUCAGAUGAGCCUAGGUCGGAUUAGCUAGUUGGUGAGGUAAUGGCUCACCAAGGCGACGAUCCGUAACUGGUCUGAGAGGAUGAUCAGUCACACUGGAACUGAGACACGGUCCAGACUCCUACGGGAGGCAGCAGUGGGGAAUAUUGGACAAUGGGCGAAAGCCUGAUCCAGCCAUGCCGCGUGUGUGAAGAAGGUCUUCGGAUUGUAAAGCACUUUAAGUUGGGAGGAAGGGCAUUAACCUAAUACGUUAGUGUUUUGACGUUACCGACAGAAUAAGCACCGGCUAACUCUGUGCCAGCAGCCGCGGUAAUACAGAGGGUGCAAGCGUUAAUCGGAAUUACUGGGCGUAAAGCGCGCGUAGGUGGUUUGUUAAGUUGGAUGUGAAAUCCCCGGGCUCAACCUGGGAACUGCAUUCAAAACUGACUGACUAGAGUAUGGUAGAGGGUGGUGGAAUUUCCUGUGUAGCGGUGAAAUGCGUAGAUAUAGGAAGGAACACCAGUGGCGAAGGCGACCACCUGGACUAAUACUGACACUGAGGUGCGAAAGCGUGGGGAGCAAACAGGAUUAGAUACCCUGGUAGUCCACGCCGUAAACGAUGUCAACUAGCCGUUGGAAGCCUUGAGCUUUUAGUGGCGCAGCUAACGCAUUAAGUUGACCGCCUGGGGCAGUACGGCGCGA
rnacentral:rRNA from 1 species